ensembl:lncRNA uncharacterized LOC114439822
CCACAUACUUACUUUGUGCUCUGCUAAUUUACAGCAAGCAUUUUAUUCGUUUGGAUAUGUUACCCACGGCCGCACCUUUAUUGAUCUUGCUCAUUAUUUGUGUUUUUGUUCCUUUCGGUGAUAUUUUUAAGCAAGAAAGGGGAACGUGACUUCCGCAUCCGUUAAGUUUAACUUCGCGGGUCAAACUUACAAUAGCUUGUACACACAAAAACGUUAAUUAUGUUAUUUUUGCACCAUUUUAACAGUGUGUUCUGUUGUGUAACCCUUUCUGAUAACUCACGCUAUGACAUGCUGACUUUUUAAACAAGUAUUUAAACGUCUUAAACGACUUUUUGUUAAAAAAAGUGUUACACGGCUUCCACAUCCACACUCAGCCAUGUCGCUGCUUUCCACGAUUGAGGAAGCUAUCAAGUCAUGCAAAGUCGAGCAAGCGAGGAUAAAUGAUAGUAUCCAGCUCUACAGAGACUUGUUACAGGGCUUAACAUUACCACCCAAGGCAGUCUCUGAGGAGUCAGAAUUGACAAAUGAUGCUACUGCAGAUACCUCACCAGGGGAGAAGGAAGAAAUAGAACUACUCGAGCGAGCACUGGAGAAAGCCCUCCGGGUCCGCACAAGCACAGAACCUCCUAAAAAAGACAAAAACAAACUAGCUGCUUUUCACAUGGAAGCAAGUCCUUCAGAUAUACCACCCUUAUCUGGAAUUUCUAAAGGAAGUCAACUAACCAUCAAAUCAACCUCUAAAUCAGCCAGUCUUGACAGAGGAAGCCUCAGAAAACCUGCAUGCUCCACACUAGGCUCAAGACCAUUGAAAAGUUACAGACCUGGUCAGUCCACAACCACAAAUAAAACCAUAACCCAAAACCGUCCUUCCUCAUCAGUUAGGGUUAUGCAUUAUAAGGCCACGUCAGUGUCUGGCUUCCCUGAUCCUGUCUCAGCGUCCAUCUCUAAAAACAAGACCUCUGGAAGCGAUGUGCUGAGUGGCAAUGAGCAGGCUAAAGCUUCAUCUGUGUCCACAUCUUCUUCAAAUAACAAACAGCCACACACUGAUGAGUCUGGAGUCUGCAGUAUGGACCAAGAGAAUGGGAGACCAGCUGAACACGGAAUUAAAUGGAAGUCUUUAAGAAGCAAGCAAAACAGAUUGUGGAACAAAGUCCUCGCUCUACAAAGGAAACCCGUGCCUGGAUGCAGUCACUUUGUAGAGAGAAUGAGAGCUACAUUCCCUAAGGACUGGCCAUGUGGUAGUCCAGAUCAGACCAGGGCUCUGGUGCACAGGAUGAUUCAUCGGGGUCAUGGGUUCACGCAGCACGGCCAGACGAGGGAGGUCCUCGCCGAACAGACUCCAGAAAUGGCCCCAGAACUGGGUGAUAACGGAGAACGCUUGCAGCUGACUGCAGCAGAGUUCCAGAGCUUUGCAGACCAACUGAAACAAGAGUGGAAAGCAUGGGAUCGAUGGAGGCCAGAGGGAGGCUGUCUAUGCCCCACUGCGACAAACGGUGUGUGUGGACGUGAGAUAAUUGCACCCCUACCACUAACUAUAGUCUACACAACAGAGGCAGAGCUCCAGGAGAUGGAGAAGCUGAGGACAAGGGUGGCACUACUGCAACAAGAGAUUUACCUUGCACAGGCUCUGUUGGACACUCUGUCCCUUCAGCUAUCAUCUAUAGUUCCUGGCCCUAGAUGUCCCAACCCCAGUGUGCUGAGGGACAUGUACUCCCUGCUGGGUGAAGGAGGGGAGCGAUUCCCUGCCAUAGUCCUGGACUCUGAGCCUGACUAAGCAUGCCACACUAAGCUUACAAACGUAGUCCCAGUUGUCCACUGCUACACUGGAGUCCAGGGUCCAAAUCCAGAGAGACCAAACAAGGCUACCAAGAAUCCACUUCUCUCCUUGAAAUGCCCAC